GACGAACCGUGCGAACGUUAUUCGGAAUUACUGGGCUUAAAGCGCGUGUAGGCGGGCCGGCACGUCCGAGGCUGAAAUCCCCCGGCUCAACCGGGGAACUGGCCCGGAUACGACCGGCCUGGAGGGGGGUAGGGGAAUCGGGAACUCACGGUGGAGCGGUGAAAUGCGUUGAGAUCGUGAGGAACGCCCGCGGCGAAAGCGCGGUUCUGGACCCCACCUGACGCUGAGACGCGAAAGCCAGGGGAGCGAACGGG
rnacentral:rRNA from 1 species